AGCCGAGGGGCAGCGCGGGAUAGCAAUAUCCUGGCGGCGACCGGCGGAAGGGUGCGUAACGCGUGAGCGACAUGCCCGUUGCCCGGGGACAACCGGUGGAAACGCCGACUAAUCCCCGAUGGGAUAUUGUGCCGCAUGGCACGAUAUUGAAAGUUACGGCGGCGACGGAUUGGCUCGCGUCCGAUUAGCUUGUUGGCGGGGUAACGGCCCACCAAGGCUACGAUCGGUAGGGGUUCUGAGAGGAAGGCCCCCCACAAUGGGACUGAGACACGGCCCAUACUCCUACGGGAGGCAGCAGUGAGGAAUAUUGGUCAGUGGGCGGAAGCCUGAACCAGCCAUGCCGCGUGCGGGAAGGAGGCCCUAUGGGCUGUGAACCGCUUUUGCCUGGGGGCAAUAAGGGCGUCGCGCACGCCCGAUGAGAGUACCAGGCGAAUAAGCAUCGGCUAACUCCGUGCCAGCAGCCGCGGUAAUACGGGGGAUGCGAGCGUUAUCCGGAUUCAUUGGGUUUAAAGGGUGCGUAGGCUGUGCGUCAAGUCGGGGGUGAAAUUCCGGUGCUCAACACCGGGGCUGCCCUUGAUACUGUCGCGCUGGAGUGCGGAUGCCGCCGGAGGAAUGAGUGGUGUAGCGGUGAAAUGCUUAGAUAUCACUCAGAACACCGAUUGCGAAGGCAUCUGGCGAAUCCGUAACUGACGC
rnacentral:rRNA from 1 species